GAACGCUGGCGGCAGGCCUAACACAUGCAAGUCGAGCGGUAGCACAGAGAGCUUGCUCUCGGGUGACGAGCGGCGGACGGGUGAGUAAUGUCUGGGAAACUGCCUGAUGGAGGGGGAUAACUACUGGAAACGGUAGCUAAUACCGCAUAACGUCGCAAGACCAAAGUGGGGGACCUUCGGGCCUCAUGCCAUCAGAUGUGCCCAGAUGGGAUUAGCUGGUAGGUGGGGUAACGGCUCACCUAGGCGACGAUCCCUAGCUGGUCUGAGAGGAUGACCAGCCACACUGGAACUGAGACACGGUCCAGACUCCUACGGGAGGCAGCAGUGGGGAAUAUUGCACAAUGGGCGCAAGCCUGAUGCAGCCAUGCCGCGUGUGUGAAGAAGGCCUUCGGGUUGUAAAGCACUUUCAGCGGGGAGGAAGGCGAUAAGGUUAAUAACCUUGUCGAUUGACGUUACCCGCAGAAGAAGCACCGGCUAACUCCGUGCCAGCAGCCGCGGUAAUACGGAGGGUGCAAGCGUUAAUCGGAAUUACUGGGCGUAAAGCGCACGCAGGCGGUCUGUCAAGUCGGAUGUGAAAUCCCCGGGCUCAACCUGGGAACUGCAUUCGAAACUGGCAGGCUAGAGUCUUGUAGAGGGGGGUAGAAUUCCAGGUGUAGCGGUGAAAUGCGUAGAGAUCUGGAGGAAUACCGUGGCGAAGGCGGCCCCCUGGACAAAGACCGACGCUCAGGUGCGAAAGCGUGGGGAGCAAACAGGAUUAGAUACCCUGGUAGUCCACGCUGUAAACGAUGUCGAUUUGGAGGUUGUGCCCUUGAGGCGUGGCUUCCGGAGCUAACGCGUUAAAUCGACCGCCUGGGGAGUACGGCCACAAGGUUAAAACUCAAAUGAAUUGACGGGGGCCCGCACAAGCGGUGGAGCAUGUGGUUUAAUUCGAUGCAACGCGAAGAACCUUACCUGGUCUUGACAUCCACAGAACUUAGCAGAGAUGCUUUGGUGCCUUCGGGAACUGUGAGACAGGUGCUGCAUGGCUGUCGUCAGCUCGUGUUGUGAAAUGUUGGGUUAAGUCCCGCAACGAGCGCAACCCUUAUCCUUUGUUGCCAGCGGUUCGGCCGGGAACUCAAAGGAGACUGCCAGUGAUAAACUGGAGGAAGGUGGGGAUGACGUCAAGUCAUCAUGGCCCUUACGACCAGGGCUACACACGUGCUACAAUGGCAUAUACAAAGAGAAGCGACCUCGCGAGAGCAAGCGGACCUCAUAAAGUAUGUCGUAGUCCGGAUUGGAGUCUGCAACUCGACUCCAUGAAGUCGGAAUCGCUAGUAAUCGUAGAUCAGAAUGCUACGGUGAAUACGUUCCCGGGCCUUG
rnacentral:rRNA from 1 species